UAGGGAAUCUUCCACAAUGGGACGAAAGUCUGAUGGAGCAACGCCGCGUGAGUGAAGAAGGGUUUCGGCUCGUAAAACUCUGUUGUUAAAGAAGAACAUAUCUGAGAGUAACUGUUCAGGUAUUGACGGUAUUUAACCAGAAAGCCACGGCUAACUACGUGCCGG
rnacentral:rRNA from 1 species